UACGGAGGAUGCGAGUGUUAUCCGGAAUCACUGGGCGUAAAGCGUCUGUAGGUUGUUUGCUAAGUCUGCUGUUAAAGCUUGAAGCUCAACUUCAAAAAUGCAGCGGAAACUAGUAGACUUGAGUGUGGUAGGGUAGAGGGAAUUUCCAGUGAGUGGUGAAAUGCGUAGAUAUUGGAAAGACCACCAAUGGCGAAGGCACUCUACUGGGCCACUACUGACACUGAGGCGCGACAGCGUGGGGAGCAAACAGG
rnacentral:rRNA from 1 species